GGCACUUGUUAUCCUUAUUUAUUUUGUGGGCAACAAAUGCUAAUCUAAGUUUUCUCUGUUACAAAUAUUAAACACCAUUUAAUAGUCAUUGAAUUUGAAAGUCAAUUUAAAAAGGCUUUUCAACAAAAUAUUGAUUUGAAUGCACUUAUUUGGAACACUGUUAAGACUGGGCUAUAUAUACUUUUAAAAUUCUAAAUAAUUAUAUUCACAGAGGGAAGAAAGAUUUGUUUAAUCACUAAAUUUGUGAGUGGGAGGAAUGCUAUACUUUAUUAUGUCAUUUUAACAUUGAUAGAAUUGCAUAACUUAUGUAGUAUGACAAUAUAUUAUGUUCUCUCACAGAAAUUCACACUGCAGGAUUCUGCCAAAUUCAUUAUUGUACAAUGCAUUCCCAGAGCAGCAUUCCAGUGGAAGACUGAGCUUGAAAUUCGCCUUUAUAGCUUCAAGAAGCUGCCA
rnacentral:lncRNA from 1 species